rnacentral:rRNA from 1 species
GCGACAGAAGAAGCACCGGCUAACUCCGUGCCAGCAGCCGCGGUAAUACGGAGGGUGCGAGCGUUAAUCGGAAUUACUGGGCGUAAAGCGCAUGCAGGUGGUUUGUUAAGUUCAGAUGUGAAAGACCCGGGCGUCAACCUCGGAAUAGCAUUUGAAACUAGGCAGACUAGAGUACUGUAGAGGGGGUAGGAAGUUUCAGGUGUAGCGGUGAAAUAGCGUAGAGAUCUGAAGGAAUACCGGUGGCGAAGGCGGCCCCCUCGGACAGAUACUGACACUCAGAUGCGAAAGCGUGGGGAGCAAACAGGAUUAGAUACCCUGGUAG